CUUGUGUAUUGGUUGUAGGUUCGGUGUUACUUGGCGGAAAGCCGUGAGUAGUGCUUGUGUGGCAGUGCGGCUUUGGCCUCGGUGAGCUCUGGAGAAUCUGCGUUGUGUGAUCAGUGUUCCUCGACAAUGCGGCGCUGGUGACGAUUGAAAUGUCGAAGUGGCAUAGCGCCUCGGCAGCGCAGUUCAGCGAACCGCGAUGUGGCGUCGCCGUGUCCACCUUUGCUUAACGGACGUCGAGGGAUGUGCUGCUCUCUACAAGUCACAAAAAUGUGACUGCGUCGACCGCCCACGGUUGAGCGCUGAAUGUGUGGUUUGAGUACUCUGCUUGAAACGAGUGGUGCAGCUCUGGGUGGCAGAACGCCAUGAAAUCCGUGCUGUGCAGACGCUCGAAAUAUCCAAUUCACGUCGGCGUCUUGGCAACGGCCAGUUCGCGAACCGGCGCCCUGGAGCGGCGCCUCUGUGCCCGCCCUAUUCGAUAGCGUCGACGCAUUAAUAUUUACGUAACCAGGCGUCCUUGCUUGACAGACGCCGAUGGCGAAGGUGCUGCGAUAUGCUGCUGGCCAGCCUUGCAGUUUUUCUCACAUUAAAAAUAUGUAGCAUACCUACAUGCCUAGCAUGUGUUAUAAGACAAUGUCUACCAUGAGAAGAUUGUCAGGAGUGCCCCAGUACUGCUCCCAAUCUGGCAUUCCUGGCUUUGCAUGCCCUCAGUAAUCAUGAUGACAAUGUGGGCCCAUUUUUUUCAAAGUAAGCUGCUAUUCUGUUUGCAAAAUGGGGAGGCUAGCUAAGCUAGUCUGUUCUUUGUGUUUUGUCAAUUUGAUGACAAAUUAUUGGCAAUGUUCUUUUAAGGUGCUUUUAAAAGAUGUUAAGCCUACCAAAAAACUGCACCAUUGGCAGUGUUCUUUGGUGGUGACAGAAAAGUGAAACUGCAGACUAAGUUGGUCAUGCCCGCAUUUUUGGAAAAUUUAAGAGCAAUAUCGACACCCACAACCGUACAACUGAUUGAGCCAUGGAUGGCCACACGCUUUCUGCACAAAUUGUGGGCCCUUACGCAACAUCAAUGAAGAGUCAACAAGCCAAGGUUUCCCUUCGACCUAGGCAGUCUACAGUUCGUUGUCGUCGCAACAGCUGAUCGCCCCGCAAGUUCACAGCCUGUGCCUUCUGCUGAUACUAGAGUCAACUCGUCACCCAUGCACAACACUUCUAGUUGCCCCAGUAGUAGUGCUGCUGCUUCUAAAUAUUGAGUAACCACACAUUGUAGGCUACAAGGGCAUUGUUGCACUGCAUCUCACCUCCAUGUGUGUUGUGUUGCUGUUUGCAUACAUGUCCUUGUUCAAUAAGCGCUCUGAAUUUUUUUCACUACUGCAAUGUCUUAACUGCACUGUGGCAGUGCUGUAUAUACUAUCGAUUAACCUCCAUAUACACAAGUGCUUUGAUCAUCAAUCUUCAAAAAUGCAACCUUCAUGCUUCUCCUCCUUCACAAGAAAGCUUGCAUAUCAAACAUUAUUCUUACCCCAACUAGAAUUGGCAGGUUGAAUUUGGUCACUUCUCCAGGCAUAUCUAAUCCGCAUUCUUGAGUAUAGCCAAAACUGUGCUGCACGUUUAAUUACCAGGGAUUACAACCAAUAUUUGAGCAUAUCUAACAUUACGUUGUCACUACCAUCCUUUGAAUCAUGCCGGAAUGUAGUGUCGCUUUGUCUGCUACAUAAAAUCAUUCAUAGUGAGCAGUCGUCCACCUUGCCUCUUGUUUGUCCAUCCCACACAUCUAGGUGCUUCUACAAUCGCCUUAGCGUCCAGCACAUUUUUGGUCGAACUGAUGCCUUUAACUUGUCUGCUUUGCCACGUGCCAUUAGGCAUUGGAAUGGUCUUCUCGAUAACAUUGCUGACAUUAACAAUACUGUAACCUUCAGACAAAAAAAUCAGUAUGUUUGGUUAGUGUUCAAGUGUUUCUAUUUCUGGUGUAUGUAACUUUUUAUGUAAUUAUGCAAUCGUACUAUUCACUGUAUAACCCAGCUCUCUAAUGGUAGAAUUUUACUUCCAAGAUUUUAUAAUUUGUUCUUUUCAAGUUACUGUGUUGAUCUUGUGUCGCUGUUUAUAUUUCUAACGUAUAACUUUUUGGCUCCUUUGUUAUGCGAUGCCCUCCCCCCUCCACGCAAUACUCCUUCUGGAGUCUGUGAUGUAAAUGAAUACAUAAACCAGAGGGCACUACUGUUUCUUGUGGAAUCAAAAUUGUGUACAUUGUUGUAGUUUUACCAAUAAAAGCUCUAAAUUGUGAA